rnacentral:rRNA from 1 species
GGACUACUCGGGUUUCUAAUCCUGUUUGCUCCCCUAGCUUUCGUUCCUCAGCGUCAGUAGUGAUCCAGCGCGCCGCUUUCGCCACGGGUGUUCCUGCAGAUAUCUACGCAUUUCACCGCUACACCUGCAAUUCCACGCGCCUCUCUCACACUCAAGCAGAGCAGUUUUGGAAGCAGCCUCUGGGUUGAGCCCAGAGAUUUCACUCCCAACUUUCCCCACCGCCUACGAACCCUUUACACCCAGUAAUUCCGAACAACGCUGGCCCCCUACGUCUUACCGCGGCUGCUGGCAC